rnacentral:misc_RNA from 1 species
AAGUCGUAACAAGGUUUCCGUAGGUGAACCUGCGGAAGGAUCAUUACCGAGUUAGGGUCUCUAGGCCCGAACCUCCCACCCGUGCGUACCCUACCUCUGUUGCUUUGGCGGGCCCGUGGGGCGACCCACCGCCGGCCCCGGCCGGCCUGCGCCCGCCAGAGGACCCAUCAACUCCAUGAAUGGUGAUGUCUGAGCAAAAUACAAUAAUUAAAACUUUCAACAACGGAUCUCUUGGUUCUG